rnacentral:rRNA from 1 species
CAGGCCUAACACAUGCAAGUCGAACGGUGGUAGCAAUACCAUAGUGGCGCACGGGUGCAUAACACGUAGCUAACCUGCCCAGAACUGGGGGAUAGCCCGCCGAAAGGCGGAUUAACACCGCAUAAUAGAUACUAGUGGCAUCACUGGUUGAUUAAAGCUACGGAGGUGAUGGAUGGGGCUGCGGGGCAUUAGUGAGUUGGUUGGGUAACGGCUGACCAAGGCGACGAUGACGAGGGGAGCUGAGAGGCUUGUGCCCCCACACGGGCACUGAGUGACGGGCCCGACGCCGACGGGAGGCAGCAGGAGGGAAGAUUUGGGCAAGGGGCGAGAGCCUGACCCAGCCUUGCCGCGUGCAGGAAGAAGGCUUUGAGGAGGAGGAAACGGCGUUAGAGAGGGAAGAUGAAGCGUGACUGUGAGCGUGAUGACGGGACUGACAGAAGAAGCACCGGCGAACGACGUGCCAGCAGCCGCGG